GACGUAGGGCGCGAGCGUUGUCCGGAUUUAUUGGGCGUAAAGAGCGUGUAGGCGGUUCGGUAAGUCGGCUGUGAAAGUCCAGGGCUCAACCCUGGGAUGCCGGUCGAUACUGCCCGGGACUAGAGUUCGGAAGAGGCGAGUGGAAUUCCCGGUGUAGCGGUGAAAUGCGCAGAUAGUCGGGAGGAACACCUAUGGCGAAGGCAGCUCGCUGGGACGUUACUGACGCUGAGACGCGAAAGCGUGGGGAGCAAACAGG
rnacentral:rRNA from 1 species